UACGGGGGGGGGCAAGCGUUGUUCGGAAUUACUGGGCGUAAAGGGCUCGUAGGUGGCCAACUAAGUCGAACGUGAAAUCCCCGGGCUCAACCCGGGAACUGCGUCCGAUACUGGCAGGCUUGAAUCCGGGAGAGGGAUGCGGAAUUCCAGGUGUAGCGGUGAAAUGCGUAGAUAUCUGGAGGAACACCGGUGGCGAAGGCGGCAUCCUGGACCGGCAUUGACGCUGAGGCGCGAAAGCUAGGGGAGCAAACGGG
rnacentral:rRNA from 1 species